GAUGAACGCUGGCGGCGUGCCUAAUACAUGCAAGUCGAACGGAAAGGCGAUGAGCUUGCGGGGUGCACGAGAGGGGAAGACGGGUGAAUAACGCGAGGGAAACCUCCCUGUAAGUGGGGUAAAACUAGGGGAAAGGGGCGAUAAUCCCAGAGAAGAUCUCGCACCGCGGGGGUGGAUGGAGAAAGUCGGCGGUGGGGGCUGGUAUAGCGGGUCAUGCGCUGGUUGGGGGGGUAGUGGAGUACCAAGGUUUUGACGGGUAGCCGGCAUGAGAGGGUGGCCGGCGUCCAUGGUACUGAGGGACGGACCAGACUCCAACGGGAGGCAGCGGUGGGGAACCUUGCGCAAUGGGCGGAAGCCUGAGGCGGCAGCCCCGCGUGCGUGAUGACGGCCUUCGGGUUGUAAACCGCUUUCGCCUGUGACGAAGCGUGAGUGACGGUAAUGGGUAAAGAAGCACCGGCUAACUACGUG
rnacentral:rRNA from 1 species